GAGGCGAACCGGGGGAACUGAAACAUCUAAGUACCCCGAGGAAAAGAAAUCAACCGAGAUUCCGAAAGUAGCGGCGAGCGAAAUUGGACUAGCCCUUAAGCUUUACACGCGUUAGACGAACGGUCUGGAAAGUCCGACGAUACAGGGUGAUAGUCCCGUAGUUGACGACGUGUGUUCAGUGAAAUCGAGUAGGGCGGGACACGUGAUAUCCUGUCUGAAUAUGGGGGGACCAUCCUCCAAGGCUAAAUACUACUGACUGACCGAUAGUGAACCAGUACCGUGAGGGAAAGGCGAAAAGAACCCCUGUGAGGGGAGUGAAAUAGAACCUGAAACCGUGUACGUACAAGCAGUAGGAGCAGGCUUUGUCCUGUGACUGCGUACCUUUUGUAUAAUGGGUCAGCGACUUAUAUUCAGUGGCAAGGUUAACCAUCUAGGGGAGCCGUAGGGAAACCGAGUCUUAACUGGGCGUUCAGUCUCUGGAUAUAGACCCGAAACCAGGUGAUCUAGCCAUGGGCAGGUUGAAGGUUGAGUAACAUCAACUGGAGGACCGAACCGACUAAUGUUGAAAAAUUAGCGGAUGACUUGUGGCUAGGGGUGAAAGGCCAAUCAAACCUGGAGAUAGCUGGUUCUCCCCGAAAGCUAUUUAGGUAGCGCCUCGGACGAAUACUACUGGGGGUAGAGCACUGUUAAGGCUAGGGGGUCAUCCCGACUUACCAACCCUUUGCAAACUCCGAAUACCAGUAAGUACUAUCCGGGAGACACACGGCGGGUGCUAACGUCCGUCGUGGAGAGGGAAACAACCCAGACCGCCAGCUAAGGUCCCAAAUUACUACUAAGUGGGAAACGAUGUGGGAAGGCUCAGACAGCCAGGAUGUUGGCUUAGAAGCAGCCAUCAUUUAAAGAAAGCGUAAUAGCUCACUGGUCGAGUCGGCCUGCGCGGAAGAUGUAACGGGGCUAAGUAGUAAACCGAAGCUGCGGCAAUAUACUUUUGUAUAUUGGGUAGGGGAGCGUUCUGUAAGCGGUUGAAGGUGUGUGGUAACGCAUGCUGGACGUAUCAGAAGUGCGAAUGCUGACAUGAGUAACGAUAAAGGGGGUGAAAAACCUCCUCGCCGGAAGACCAAGGGUUCCUGUCCAACGUUAAUCGGGGCAGGGUAAGUCGACCCCUAAGGCGAGGCCGAAAGGCGUAGUCGAUGGGAAACGGGUUAAUAUUCCCGUACUUCUUACAAUUGCGAUGGGGGGACGGAGAAGGCUAGGUGGGCCUGGCGACGGUUGUCCAGGUUCAAGUGCGUAGGCUUAAGAGUUAGGUAAAUCCGGCUCUUUUUAAGGCUGAGACACGACGUCGAGCAUCUACGGAUGUGAAGUCAUUGAUGCCAUGCUUCCAGGAAAAGCCUCUAAGCUUCAGAUUGUAAGGAAUCGUACCCCAAACCGACACAGGUGGUCGGGUAGAGAAUACCAAGGCGCUUGAGAGAACUCGGGUGAAGGAACUAGGCAAAAUGGUACCGUAACUUCGGGAGAAGGUACGCUCUUGAUGGUGAAGUCCCUUGCGGAUGGAGCUGACGAGAGUCGCAGAUACCAGGUGGCUGCAACUGUUUAUUAAAAACACAGCACUGUGCAAAAUCGUAAGAUGACGUAUACGGUGUGACGCCUGCCCGGUGCCGGAAGGUUAAUUGAUGGGGUUAGACUUCGGUCGAAGCUCUUGAUCGAAGCCCCGGUAAACGGCGGCCGUAACUAUAACGGUCCUAAGGUAGCGAAAUUCCUUGUCGGGUAAGUUCCGACCUGCACGAAUGGCGUAAUGAUGGCCACGCUGUCUCCACCCGAGACUCAGUGAAAUUGAAAUCGCUGUGAAGAUGCAGUGUACCCGCGGCUAGACGGAAAGACCCCGUGAACCUUUACUACAGCUUGGCACUGAACAUUGACCCUACAUGUGUAGGAUAGGUGGGAGGCUUUGAAGCACGUACGCCAGUAUGUGUGGAGCCGUCCUUGAAAUACCACCCUUGUAGUGUUGAUGUUCUAACGUCGACCCCUAAUCGGGGUUGCGGACAGUGCCUGGUGGGUAGUUUGACUGGGGCGGUCUCCUCCCAAAGAGUAACGGAGGAGCACGAAGGUGGGCUAAUCACGGUUGGACAUCGUGAGGUUAGUGCAAUGGCAUAAGCCCGCUUGACUGCGAGAAUGACAAUUCGAGCAGGUGCGAAAGCAGGUCAUAGUGAUCCGGUGGUUCUGAAUGGAAGGGCCAUCGCUCAACGGAUAAAAGGUACUCCGGGGAUAACAGGCUGAUACCGCCCAAGAGUUCAUAUCGACGGCGGUGUUUGGCACCUCGAUGUCGGCUCAUCACAUCCUGGGGCUGAAGUCGGUCCCAAGGGUAUGGCUGUUCGCCAUUUAAAGUGGUACGCGAGCUGGGUUUAGAACGUCGUGAGACAGUUCGGUCCCUAUCUGCCGUGGGCGUUGGAAGAUUGAAGGGGGCUGCUCCUAGUACGAGAGGACCGGAGUGGACGAACCUCUGGUGUUCGGGUUGUGUCGCCAGACGCAUUGCCCGGUAGCUAAGUUCGGAAUCGAUAACCGCUGAAAGCAUCUAAGCGGGAAGCGAGCCCUGAGAUGAGUCUUCCCUGAUACUUUAAGUAUCCUAAAGGGUUGUCGGAGACUACGACGUUGAUAGGUCAGGUGUGUAAGUGCUGUGAGGCAUUGAGCUAACUGAUACUAAUUGCCCGUGAGGCUUAACCAUACAACACCCAAGGGGUUU
rnacentral:rRNA from 1 species